GAACUUAUGGCUUAGUGGUCAUACUGCAUGGACGGUUUCCAAGAGACGCGGGUUCAAAUUCCGCUAAGUUCA
rnacentral:tRNA from 1 species